GCUUGGUGUUUCCACUUGUGAGAGGAAGCCAAGUGGCAGGCACUGGGAGAAGAUGGAACAAGAUGGAUUUUAGCCGACAUUCUGCAUUCUCAUCAAUGAAACAUGUGAUCUAGAAUCUGUUAUGAACAGAGUCCUGUUGUUUAGGAGUGCAAAGGCGAAUUGAGUUAUUGCACACAUGCACUUCACAGAGUAUCGGUUCCCCUAACGGAAAUAUGCUAAUAUUUGCCAGAAUGGCCAAUAGGAUCUUGCUAGCUUGUGCUUUGCUCUGCCCACCUCCUUGCUUGUUCUGCCCACUAUUACUAAUUUCUUCCCAUUGGAAACGAAAGGCUGUGGUCUAUCUUGGGUUAGUUAUAAAAAUCUUUGAUAUAACUUUCAUAAUACAGAAAUACAGCCAGUAUGAUGCUGUAUUUAAAAAAAGCACAAAUCACUGUCAUGUUCAUUAAUGACUCACAGACAGUCGUUGCCGGUCAACCCGAGCACGCCCGCUCUGUCUGGCAGUUUCCGAAUGCUUCCGGAGAGUCACCGAACAGAGACCCAGCCCCUCCCGAGUACCAUGCCCCUCUGCCCCCCCCCCCCUCCUCCUCGCGUCUACAACGACUCUCUUUUCGGCUCGACUCGGAGGAGGAACCCGGCGGCCGCCCGGCUGUGCGUUUGCAUUACCCAAGAUGGAGUUGGGAUCGCGGCUGUUGGUGGCCACCAUCAUGAGCUCUGGGGAAGGAGCUGAUGAGACGUCAAAGGACGCAGCCGAUAUAGCGGCGUUCUUUAAAUCUGGUAAGCCCGAAAACGGAUCGGGGAGAGCAAAAGAGCCGUCCCGUAAAGGCGACAUGGGGGUGGGGGGGUAUUGUUCCCGAUUGAGCACUGUGUUUUCGGUGCAAUGGUGGGGUGGGGGAGGUUUCAACUAAACAUUCGCCCAGGUGUCCUUACUCAUUUGUAGAAGCGACAGUGGAUCAUAAAUGGGUGGCUGUUAUGGUGGUGUUAUGGUAAUGGUGAGAGCUGUCGUGCAUUUGUUACACAGUCAUUAAAAUGUAACUAACCAUGUCAACCAGCGGUGAGAGCUCGCGACUCCCUUAGCAGCCCAACUCCGUCCACAGACACAUGCUAAAUAAUGUUAGCUUGGUUGGCUUUUAUAACCGACUCACCCCGAAAUUAGCUAUCGUGCUUACAUUAGGCACAUACAAAGACAAUAGCCACAUUAGAUAUAUAGCCAAUAGACUUGUGUACUACCAUAAAAAUAGAUAAAUAACUACAUUAUGUGCGCGAGCUAUCAAACUAGCCGCUAGCUAGCAAUGUUCAGAAUCAAAUAUAGCUAACUAGGUAAUCAAGGGACUGGGAAAUCACAAACAGCUCACUGGCAGAUUGCUAGCUAUACCAUUAGAGACCUUUCAUUGAAACAGCGGAACGUUAGUUGAUUGUUACUUAAAACGUAUGUAUCGUGCUAAUCGUUUCCGUGCUGUCAAAAUAGGAAACAAUCGAGCGUGCUAUGUAAACAAUACAGUGGCAUGCAUUGCUCUGUCUGGACUGUGGCUAGGUUAGCUUGCUAUCUAGUUGUACGGUUUCCCCUAUGACCCAAUAAGGCAUAUAAUGCAUGCAUUUGAUUUAUAUUGGAAUGCAUAUCUUAAACAGUUCAGAUAACGUACUAUUUGCUAAAUUAGUAGUAGUGACUGCACAAUGUGUGAUUUCAUGGUAGAUUAAAUAUGUUCAUGGCCAUUUUCUCGGCUAACGUUAGUCAUGCUAGCUAGCCGAGUGAGCUAUGAGCAGUCAUCAUUUCUGGAUCUAUCCUGAUCAGUAGAUGGAUAACAGCUCGCCCGUGGAUAUUUGACUUUCUUCAAUUUCUCUUCCAUUAUUCAAUUUCUGAAUUUUAGACUGAAGGAGAUAAUUUAUGUGCCUUGAAUAGGGAGCUCAUUUUGGGUUAGUGUUUAUCAUCUGUGGUGUAUUCAUUAGUCAGAUUCCGUUGCAAAGCGUUGGGUCUGUUGCAAACGUGCUGCAAUGGAAACCUUUUACUGUAGGAACCAAGCGGAAAAAACGGAGUAAACUGAACGAAACGGAGAGGGACCUACCUGAAUUUGUCCAAUAGCAACUGUCCUUUGUUGCAAAACGUUUUCUGUUUGGAGUAAACGUUUCCGUUGCAAAAGUUUUUCAACAGACGAAAUGUUGUGCAACGGUAUCCGACAUUCUGCCGAUUCUGUUGCAAAACGUUUGUUAAACAAGCAGACUGAUAAAACGGCGAGGGAUGUACCUGAAUUUGUCCAUUUAAAAACAUCAGUUUUGUUCCGUUUGCUUCUGUUUGGUUCUUAAACGCUAAACUGUUUCCGUAAUGAAUACACCCCAGGCCUUUUGUGAACUAACACUCGCACUUGACUUUUUUUCUACCUUACUGGCUCUGACUUUGCUGACAGCUACAUUUAGAAAAAUGUACUUACUGUGACAGCUAACGUUAGGUGGGUCAACCACCUAUCACAAUCUUAAGAGGAAUGAACUAACUGUAGGUCGCUCUGGAAAAGAAAGUCUACUAAAUGUAAAAUGUAGCAAUUCCUCGUAGUAUGAUUAUGAUACAACAACCAUAUGCUGAAAAUCAAAUGGGACUUAUCAUUAUAGCUUGAUGAUUUCAUAGAUGGGUUCUAUAUAUUGGUGCUGCAUUAUAGGCCUACAUGACUACUGUAUUGCACUAAACUCCCAUUGUAAAAAAUCUAUUACUUAGAUCAAUUAAAGGGUGGCAAUUGGGUUGAUGGGAGGGUGACAUUAACCCUUUGUGUGUUUGUUCAAUGGCUCACUGGUCAGGCUAAACCUCAGUGCGAGGAGAUGAAGAGAGGAAGGGGGGAGGUAAGGGGUGGCAGGUAGCCUAGUGGUUAGAGCGUUGGGCCAGUAACCGAAAAGUUGCUAGAUCGAAUCCCCAAGCUGGCAAGGUAAAAAUCUGUCGUUCUGCCCCUGAACAAGGCAGUUAACCCACUGUUCCUACGCUGUCAUUGUAAAUAAGAAUUUGUUCUUUACUAACUUGCCUAGUUAAAUAAAGGUCAAAUACAUUUUAAAAAGGAAGCAACUGUAGACUAUUGAGACAGCCUUUGACUCCACUCAGUGUGUCUGUAGAUAAUAGCCCACAUGGGAAGUGCUGUAUCCUCAUUAUGACUGCAGUUAGUUCCUGUGUGAAGAUGGAUCCAGUCUUCCUGUUUUGAGGGAGACAUGAUAGAAAGUCCCAGUCUACAACCACAUCCAAUUUUAACCACUAGGCCUCUCAAACUCAACUCUGGACCUCAAAGCCAGUUCCACUGCAGUUUUUCAUUGUUCCCCUCUAAUUAGGGACUGAUUUUAGACAUGGGACACCAGGUUGGUGAAAUGAAUGAUUAGGUAGAACAGAAAACCAGCAGGCUCCGGACCUCAUAGGGUAAGAGUUGAAUACCUCUGCACUAGGCUAGUCUAAACCACUAACCUUAACCGUUACCCACACCCUACCCCCUAUUUCUUUUGAGUUGUAGAAACUUCCUAUUGAGAUUGUUUAAAAUGUUCAUUUGUGCUUCCUUCAGCUGUUUGUCUGUCCCAGGUGUUUUGGCGCCCUCGUAGAAGUUGCCCAUAGGCACAGAUCUAGGAUCAGCUUACCUUCCCUCAAGCUUUUCCCAACUUUUAGAGGGAAAAACUCAAAGCUGACCUUAGAUCAGUGUCUAGUGUCAUCUUUUGUGGCUGGAUUAUUAUGGGUAAUUAUUAUGGGGUGUCAUUGCAGUGUUUUGAUCCCCCUAGGGAGAGUUCUUGGUAAGCAGCAGAGCUGUGCCCUGUUAUCACUGCGGGCAACCAAGCUCUGAUUGACAGCUGAGCUCAGGUUGAGUCGUCUGUGUGUGCGUCUGUGUCUGUCUGUGUUUGUAUUUGUGUGUGUGGAUGCAUGCAAAUUGGAGCUGGAGAAGAUUCAAGCCCUCUCACUCUACAGUCAGCUCUGAAAUCAUCUCUGUAAUACGCAGAGAUACUGGCAUCAACACUACAGGAACAGAGAUAGUUCAAGCGAAGUGAAACAAGGAACUGUGUGUACUAUUACGACAUCCUCAUCUAAAUUCAUAAUGUAGUCUGAGUAUACAAAACAUUAGGAACACCUUCCUAAUAUUGAGUUGCAUCUCCGUCGGGGCAUGGACUCUACAAGGUGUCGAAAGCGUUCCACAGGGAUGCUGGCCCAUGUUGACUCCAGUGCUUCCCACAGUUGUCAAGUUGGCUGGAUGUCCUUUGGGUGGUGGACCAUUCUUGAUACACAUGGGAAACGGUUGAUUGUGAAAAACCCAGCAGCACCUACUACCAUACCCCGUUUAAAGGCACUUAAAUCUUUUGUCUUGUUGCCCAUUCAGCCUCUGAAUGGCACACAUACACAAUCCAUGUCUCAAGGCUUUAACAUCCUUAUCUAACCUGUCUCCUCCCCUUCAUCUCUACACUAAUUUGAAGUGGAUUUAACAAGUGACAUCAAUGAGGGAUCAUAUUUUUUCCCCACCUGGAUUCACCUGGUAAGUCUAUGUCAUGGAAAGAGCAGGUGUUCUUAAUGUUUUGUAUACUCAGUGUACAGUUGGCCUACUCAAGCCUUCUCACUACAGGUCCAGAGUUGCCCAUCCCUGCUGCAGACUAUAUAGACCAAGGCUAUAGUUUGCGAUGUGUUAGUUGGAGUGUCACACUGCUUCGUCCCUCCCGUUUAGUUUUUCCUUUGACUUCCUCCCUAUAUAACACCGCCUGGUGGUGUUCAAACAUGUACAGGUUUAAGACCUGCCUGCUUAGUAGUGCCUAGCCAUCGGGUAUGUUUUUAUCUUCAUUCUCCCUCUCUCUGUCAUGUCUUCCCUUUGUUUGUCUCGUUCUGUCUCGUGCUUGUUCUCUCGCUCAUUUCUGUCUCUAACUCUGUCUCACUCUCUCUCGUUUCAGACAUGGUGAGGAUCCAACCUUACGUGUAAAAAGCACUCAACCGUCCCAGACUUUUGUUUAUGCUCGUUGUACAAGAAUGCGUAAAGGAAAAUAGUUAUCGUUGAUCUGUGAAUGGAUGAGCUCACACACUCACUCACCUUUACGCUGAGCUAUAGGAGCAGAGCUAUAACUAGGACAAUGAGAUGUCUCUCACUACAUAACAUGGCUAUGACUAUAACAUCAUUAUAACAUGACAGGACGACUAUAAUAAAAUAUGAUGAACAAAAGUGACAUAUAAUUCACCUUUACUGUAUUUAGCCUAUGACACAACUAUAACAUGGUAAUAACAUUAUACUAACACAAUGAGAGCAUAACUACAUAACUAUAAGGAACUGCAUCUCUCUCUUCUCCCAGCAUGAGAGACUGAGCCAGAACUCAAAUUCUCCCCAAGCCCCCAAGCCCACACCAGAGAAAUUAGUGAAAGAAAGUGGGACGACCUCUUUUUGGUGAGAGAAAGAAGGUCUGUGUGUGUGUGUGUGUGUGUGUGUGUGCGAUGCCAAUUUAGAAGACUGCAAAAUUCACACCAACUACCACCAACUUGAAUAAUGCUACACGAAAUUGAAUUUAUUGAUUGGUUGCUUAAAUGAUUGAUAUAUUCUUUAAUGAACAGAGGACUUGAAAUACAUUGACACCUGCUGGGAUGGCAACAGCCUCUGUUUCUCUCAGCUUAAUCAGGACUGUACACACCCUACAUAUGACUACACUAUCACACCUUAUCACUUGACCUGCUUCCUUAUCUUGUUGCAGGGUGGUGAC
rnacentral:lncRNA from 8 species